UCCGGUUUGACACCGGCAGUCCCCUUAGAGUCCCCGGCAUAACCCGCUGGUAACUAAGGGCAAAGGUUUCGCUCGUUAAGGGACUUAACCCGACAUCUCACGACACGAGCUGACGACAGCCAUGCAGCACCUGUACACGUUCCACCCCGAAGGGCGUACUCCACUUUCAUGGAGGUAAUCCGUGCGAGUCAAACCCAGGUAAGGUUCUGCGCGUUGCUUCGAAUUGAACCACAUGCUCCACCGCUUGUGUGAGCCCCCGUCAAUUCCUUUGAGUUUUAGCCUUGCGACCGUACUUCCCAGGCGGUCCACUUAGCACUUUUGCUUCGACCGCAAUACCGUCAGAGGUACUGCGAUCUAGUGGACAUCGUUUACGGCCAGGACUA
rnacentral:misc_RNA from 1 species